UUGUUGGUUUCGUUCGCAUGCAUGAUGUUUUCGUUCUGUUUGAUUAGUUCCUAAGUGUGUAUUCUCUGUUGUUUUAGGCAUAAUUUUAGCACUUGGAGGAGUCAUUUGGAGUCAUUUAGAGCUUGAGGAGUAGGAUUUGCGUAGCGAAGUGAACUACGAAGUUGAAGAUCAAUGUAAAAUAAUUCAUCUUAGUAGCAAACAAGGAGGAGAUGACGUGAUUGAAGAAAUUGUGUUUCCAUCUUCGCUGUCCCUUUUGAGGUUGACUCCGUUCAUAUAGUACUGGUGACGGAAAUUUAUUCGAACUAUUUGGACUCUUAAUUGCAUUCGCAAGCACAUCCAUAUUGGAGCUAAGGUAUAAAAUGACACCGUAAUUUUGUUAAUAUUUUUUAUAUUGAUGUACUGUUGUGAAUAAUGUGCAUGCCGCUGCAAAUAUUAUUAUUUGUAAAUAAAUGAUUGUUAUCGUAUGAUAUGAAAAAAAUUAUAUAAAGCCGGAAGAAAUUAAAUGUUUUACUCAUAUAUGAUAUUAAAAUGUUAUUAUCGUACUAUUGUGUUUAGUGGUUGUUUGGAUAGCGAGUAAUUACCAUCGGUUUUGUCAUAACCUGUUGUAAGAAAAUUAGUUUUUACUAAUAGCCGUUUUUACUCUCGUAGACGAGUUUGAGAAAAAAUAGAUCUUUAAAUACCCGUUAACCAAACAACCCCUUAAAGUCUAAGCAAAUGAUUCUAGAAACCGAAUAUUUGUAACGAAAAUACGGUUAUUAUUUUAGUCGUAUGAUAUGUAAAUGUUGUCAUCGUUACUAAAUGUUUAGUUACUAAUUAUUUGAAAUGUAAACAUAUAUGGUGGUUAGGUACUAUAGAAAAUUUAGUAGUGUACUAUGGCAACGUGUUACGCGACGGUCCUUUCGGGGUGGAUGUGUCCUUGUGCGAGUCGACUACAGUUGUAGUGAGAGACAUGGUUAACGUGGGUUACGCAGCAGUUAGAAGGUGCAUCCGAGCGGUGUUUGGCCCAGGGAUGCAGGGAAAAAAAUGACAAUGGAGGCCUUCGUCGUUGAUGGAGGAAAUGAUGGGACAAUUGCCCGUUGGGGUUUGCGGCCUGUCACAGGUGAUCGGUCGUGGGGGUCGUACAUGUGGUUUGCAAGCAAUCCCAAUAACUCAAUGUAUGGUCAGCCGAUGGUGUAUGUGGAGUUCAUUUCAGUCACUGAUGUUGCCGGAUGCAGUAGCAGGGGUGGUGAGGUCGAGUUGGCCAUCACAUCAGCCCCUAGCGUCGGCCCAUCGGAACCGACGGGCGGCCAACCUGUGUAUGAC